GGGUGAGUAACACGUAUGGAACCUGCCCGUAGCAGGGGGAUAAGCGGAAGAAAUUCCGUCUAAUACCGCGUAAUAACUCCGAGAGGCAUCUCCUGGGGUUUAAAGGGUAACACCGGCUACGGAUGGCCAUGCGGCGCAUUAGCUAGUUGGCGGGGUAACGGCCCACCAAGGCGACGAUGCGUAGGGGUUCUGAGAGGAAGGUCCCCCACACUGGUACUGAGACACGGACCAGACUCCUACGGGAGGCAGCAGUGAGGAAUAUUGGUCAAUGGGCGCGAGCCUGAACCAGCCAAGUCGCGUGAGGGAAGACGGUCCUAUGGAUUGUAAACCUCUUUUGUCGGGGAGCAAAAGACGCCACGCGUGGCGUUCCGAGAGUACCCGAAGAAAAAGCAUCGGCUAACUCCGUGCCAGCAGCCGCGGUAAUACGGAGGAUGCGAGCGUUAUCCGGAUUUAUUGGGUUUAAAGGGUGCGCAGGCGGAAGAUCAAGUCAGCGGUAAAAUUGAGAGGCUCAACCUCUUCGAGCCGUUGAAACUGGUUUUCUUGAGUGAGCGAGAAGUAUGCGGAAUGCGUGGUGUAGCGGUGAAAUGCAUAGAUAUCACGCAGAACUCCGAUUGCGAAGGCAGCAUACCGGCGCUCAACUGACGCUCAUGCACGAAAGUGUGGGUAUCGAACAGGAUUAGAUACCCUGGUAGUCCACACAGUAAACGAUGAGUACUAAUUGUUCGGG
rnacentral:rRNA from 1 species